rnacentral:rRNA from 1 species
CUACGGGUCGCAGCAGUAGGGAAUAUUGGUCAAUGGGCGCAAGCCUGAACCAGCCAUGCCGCGUGCAGGAUGAAGGCCUUCUGGUCGUAAACUGCUUUUGUACGAGAACAAUAAGUCCCUGCGGGGAUCCAUGAGUGUAUCGUAAGAAUAAGCACCGGCUAACUCCGUGCCAGCAGCCGCGGUAAGACGGAGGGUGCAAGCGUUAUCCGGAUUUACUGGGUUUAAAGGGUACGUAGGCGGCAUAGUAAGUCAGUGGUGAAAUCUAACAGCUUAACUGUUAGCGGUCCAUUGAUACUGCUAAGCUAGAGUAUAGUAGAGGUAGGCGGAAUUCUGCAUGUAGUAGUGAAAUGCGUAGAUAUGCAGAGGAACACCGAUAACGAAGGUAGCUUACUGGGCUAUUACUGACGCUGAGGUACGAAAGCGUGGGGAGCAAAUAGGAUUAGAUACCCGAGUAGUC